AAACUGACAGCUCAGGCCUUGGCAAAAAUUCCCCAGUGCUGAAGGCAGCACAGCCCCACCCAAGAUUCAGGGAAAGGGAAGGUAUGCAGCCCAGGUUUCUCGACCUGGGCAGGCUGCCUCAGCAUCUUUAAGGAUUCAGAAGUGAUAAAUAGGAAGAGCUGGCCGGUGAUGUCACAAGGCAAAUAGACGGGUCCUGAGGAGGUCAGGAACAGACGCAAAAAGCCGCAAGGCAAGGAAACAUUUCUCUUCCCGUACUGAGGAGGCUGAGGAGUGCACUGGGUGUUCUUUUCUCCUCUAACCCAGAACUGCGAGACAGAGGCUGAGUCCUUGCAGAGAACAGCUCCAGAAAAGCCAGGAGAGCACAGGAGGGCAUCCGGGAGGCCAGGAGGGGUUCGCUGGGGCCUCAACCGCACCCGCAUCGGUCCCACCUGCGAGGGGGCGGGACCUCGUGGCGCUGGACCAAUCAGCACCCACCUGCGCUCACCUGGCCUCCUCCCGCUGGCUCCCGGGGGCUGCGGUGCUCAAAGGGGCA
rnacentral:sRNA from 1 species